CAUGAAUAAACAAAGUGAUAAUCUGAUUUGUAACGUCUGCCAGGAGAGCUAUUCCAGCGUCUCGGUCAAAAAUGGGCAUUUGAGAACUCUUCAUCUUGAAGCUGUCGAGGAAAAACCAAAAAACACUGUACAUAUACAGUGUCCCAUUUGCAAUGAGCAGGAAAAACCUUCUUCCGGAUCCCAUGACCUCCUUAUAAGCCAUUUAGAAAACAAUCAUUGCUUAAGUAUUAAAGUAUCUGUAAUUUAUGUAUAACAGAACCAUCAACAAGUAGAACUCGAUAUGAAGAUGAUGUCCAAAAUUUUAUAGUAGAAAACGAAGAAGGACAAAAUCCCAAUCUUUCAACCGAUCAGAGUAGAAAACAAGGGGUAAGUCAUCUAGAAUUAGCUAGGGUGAUGGAAAAACUUGAAAGCUUCUUAUAGAUUACGAAAGAACUAGCACAUAUGCUAGUGAAUAUGUUAAAUGAUGAUAAUUUGGAUAAGAUCGUCAGAAUAAUGGAAAAGGCUGUUAGUGAACAGACUGAAGGUGCAUCAACCAGUAAAAAGAGGAAAAUUGAUAAGCAAUCGUAUUAUCCCAGCAAGAAGUAGUGGUGUGGAUACAUACAAAGGGUAACCAGCUGUAUCUCGACCAAUACUUUUGAAAAUCAUUUUGAUAUGCCAGCCCAGAGUUUGACAAAGCGCAUGCU